CAGGAACGCCGGGCAGCCGCGCGGCGUCAUUUUAUGACGAGCGAGGAAGGUCCGAACUCUUUGGGACAAUAAGGCCAGAGAAAUCUGGAGGCCGCAAGGCCAUGGAAAGCGCCGCAGAAAAUAUACCGCCUUUUGUAUGUUCAGGGCCUGCCCUGAGCCUGUCGAAGGGUAAGGGUGAAAUGGCGAGGUAAGAGCUCACCGCGUUUCUUGAGAAAGAGACGGCAUGGCAAGCCCCCUUAAAGAGCAAUUUCAAGCAGUUUCGCAAAUGUCCCUGUGCCCUGUCGGGCGGCGAAACGGGUAGAAAGCAAAGAUUUUUACGGUAUAACGUAAAGACAAGAUAAAUGGCUGCCGUCUGCGUUUGCAGAUACAGAAUUCGGCCUACAGGCGUUCCUAUUUU
rnacentral:RNase_P_RNA from 1 species